CAGAGACGGAGGCAGCCAGAGAACUUUUCAUUGCAGCUGUAACAGACAGCGGGGAGCCGCUGGGAUUGGACGAGCGACCAAAGCCGCCCGUCAUGCAGAGGGGCAGCCAGGCUCACAGGUAUGGGCAAAGCAGAAGUGUGAACACAGGAAGACAGGAAGUAAAGAAGCAAGGUGGAAAGUGAGCAGCCCUGCCUCUGACUGGUGACCUGUCCAGCGUGUACCCCGCGUCUCACCCCUUGGUAACUGGGAUAAGUUCCAGGCCCCCUGCUACCCUGAUAAAGAUAAUUGGAAGAGAAUGGAAGGAUGGAUUUGUAUGACUCAUAUCCUGCUUAGAUUUGUUUCCUUUUACAUUAUUAUUACUAAUAAAUGUCAUAAUACUGGGUGGCAUACAGAAACUGUAUAAACUUGGAGAACAGACCAGUAAAGAGGGAAUGGGUGUGGGUCACAUUUUAUGCUUCAGUGCAAAAUAACUUACCUGACUUUUUUAUUUUUCUGACAUUACACAUCCAAAUAUAAGUUGUAACUAUGUAGAAACUUCUGCACAAGUCUGUUGCUCUGGAUCUGAUUGUGCUUCAAAUGUUAGUAACUGGCAUCUUUUCUAAGGCUGUCAUUACAUUCAGG